AUUAUAUUUCUAUUCAUUUAUUACAUACAAACAUUAUCUAUGAAGUUAAACAGCUAGCACAGACUUCAGUUUCUAGACACUUUUAUUGGUGUCCUACACCCACAACAACAAAUAUUGACAAAUUCAAUUAAAAAUACAUGAAUAAACAUAAUAAACAUUCUCUAACAUAGAAACAAAACAUUCUCUAUAAAUUCAUGAUAAACAUUUUGUUUGUUUUGUAAGUUCCAUUCAGUUAUAGGUUCAUUUCCUGUUAUAAGCACCUGGUUCAAACCUACAGCAGGGUGACAGGGGAGGGAAGCUGGCAGAGUUCAAACUCAAAACCAUUGUGACAACAAUUUGAAGUGUAUUCUGCAAUAUACUUAGACACAGUACAGUCAUCAGUACACUAAUUUAUAAAAAAAAAGAUUAAUAUUCAUAAAAUAUUUGUGUAUGUUUGUCAUAAACCUUUUCAUGCUCUGACGUAACUUGAGUUUGAAUCCCAAUGUAGAGUAAGAAUUUUUAAAUUUAAGAUUAGACUUGAGCUGAAUUGUGUUUGUGGAAUGUCUUUAUUGAAAGAAGCAGGGAAAACUACUCUUAGAUACCUAUUCUACUACAUAUCCACAAAAGAAAUUGGACGAAAGCACUCUGAGCAGGCUAUACAAUAGCAAUAAUAAUUUUAAAAAAAAAUAUUCUAUUGUAAAAAAAAAAUAAAAAUGGAUCCACAAUGAACUGCAAUGUUUGUAUGUGAGCAGUAAAAAAACAUCCAUAUAUUUGUAUGAAAUAAAUACAAUGCUAAAAUUUUAUGUGGCAAGUAAGACAUUGGAAAUCUUCUUGAAAACGUUGACUGAGGGAGGAGAGAUAAUUGAUACAUGCAGUCAGAAAGUUUAUUAUAGACAGUAACAUGUUACACCGAGGUACUAAAGUAUAAGCUAAGUGAUAUCACAAAUAGCAGUUAACAUAGGAUGUUACUGAAGGAUGUUACAAUAGGAUGUUACUAAAGGAUGUUACCAUAGGAUGAAAGUAAUUUUGCAUUUUUAAAAUUCAAAUAAAAUCAUUUAGCUUCAAAUAACCAAAUACAAAAUGAGAACAUGCCUAAAAACUAAAACAAACAAACAAACAAGAGAAAAAAAAAACAGUCACAAAUGGUGCAAAACAUCUGUAUACAGCAUGUGGGCUGAUAGGUAAACACUUUUUCCCAACCAAGGUGUCUUGAAUCCCAGUGAGGACCAGAGUUUGAACUUUGGGAAAUUUAGGAUGCCCCCCCCCCCC